UCUCCUGUCACUGGCCUUCUCCAUAAGGGCAGGCAGCUGCGACCUCUGCAGAGCUCACUCAGGAGUGGGACAGACCACCACCAGGAACUUGAUCUAAGUCACCCAGCACGGAUGGGUACUUCCAGAGCCACUAUUUGGGGUGGGAGCUCCCAUUGGGCUGGAAACUGUACCCAUUUUCCAGAUAAUGCCAGGAGGUGCUUCAUCUGAGCUUGGCUUCCAGAACAGGCUUAAGAGCUACACUGCCAAACACUGGGCUCACUGCUGAGGAGCGUCACCCCUCUUUUUUUUUUCCUAUUCAAACAUUUUAAUUUUUUUUUAAAGAGUAAUAUGGGCUAACUGACUCAAUGGACAUGACUCUGAGCAACUCCAGGAGAGAGUGAAGGACAGGGAAGCCCGGUGUGCUGGAGUCCGUGGGGUCACAAAGGGUUGGACAUGAUUUAGCAACUGAACAACAACUAUGACAACACGGACUAAUUGGAGAAACACUAUGGGCUGGCUUCUGUCGCCGAGCAGUGUGACCUCAGGGUUCAUCCACGUUGCAGCAGCUGUCAGAAUAUCCUUCCUCUUAAGGCUGAAUACCAUUGCCUUGAAUGAAUGAACCACACUCUCCUUGGACUGCAUGCCAGUCAUCCAUCCAUGGACACAAGGGGCCUCUGCACUUGGCAACUGCUCUAACUUAGAAGUCAGGAGAGACACCCCCUUCCAACCUGAGCUGGUGAACGUCUCCAGCCAGGAACCGGAGUAGAGACCUGACCCUCCGCACUCUCCAGAGGUCCCUGGCACCUGUCAGGUGCGGCAUGGGACAUCAGCAAAGAAUGCAGAGGAGAAGAGGAGAGACGGGUGAUCAGGAGCUUGCGGGGUGCCCUGCUCCCUGGGAUAACCUGGAUGGCUCUCCAGCGUUUAAAACAUCCAUCCUGUCGGUUAGAAGGCUGCCCGAUUUUAUGGUUCCCUUUAAGCAGAGGGUUGGACAUGACUGAGAGACUUCACUUUCACUUUUCAC